CGGCAACAGCUCAAAUUUGAAAUCUGGUCCUUCCGGGCCCGAGUUGUAAUUUGCAGAGGAUGCUUUUGGCGCGGUGCCUUCUAAGUUCCCUGGAACGGGACGCCAUAGAGGGUGAGAGACCCGUACGGUUGGACACCAAGCCUUUGUAAAGCUCCUUCGAC
rnacentral:rRNA from 1 species